rfam:Otolemur garnettii contig134275, whole genome shotgun sequence.
GCACCUGUGGCUCAAAAGGUUAGGGCACUGGCCCCAUAUGCCAGAGGUGGCGGGUUCAAAACCAGCCCUGGGCCA